rnacentral:ncRNA from 1 species
AGUUGGCUGUUUUUUUUAGCAGCCCCCGAUGGUAACGUCGGGGUGUCAACGAGGUGAACUGACGGAAAGCCUGCGUCCCCGCAAGGGGUAUAUGGUGAUCCGCAGCCAAGUCUCAUUUUUUCUUGAAUCCCUUUUGUGUACUGUCUCUCUUUGUAUAAGAGAAACAUCCGUUGGGUCAGAGAAAAUGUGAAAGGUUCAGAGACUAUCCCGCAAGGGAGUACUUUGCGUCGAUGUAUCAUCGACGCAUGGGAAGCGCCUCGCACCCUCACGCUCCUCGACUUGUUCGAGGUUAUUGGCGCGGGUGAUAAGAUAGUCCACCCUUCCUUGAAAAAGGGAG